CUUUGUGUUCUCUCCUCCCGGGGAGAGGCCGCGCCGCGCCUCCGCGUCUGCCCGCGCCGGGCUUCGGGGGCCUGGGGAGCCUGAGGCGGCCAGGAAGUGGGGCGAGGAAGGGCGGCCACACGGCCCGAGCUGGGAGUCCCACAGUCCCGCAGCGGCGACGCCGCCACCCGCCGAGUGCCGAGGCCCGGGGCCCACUCCCAGCCCAGCUCCAGGAGAGGCCGCGCCGGAGGACCGCGAGGACGGCGCCGCAGCGCCAGGUCGGGCUGAGACCAGGACUCUGGCCCGUCUGCCUCCCUCCGGCGUCGUCUCCGGGAGCGCGGGCGCGGUGGGGCCUGCAGGCCGGGCUGGGACCAGGCGCGCCUUGGGGCGCGAGUGGCUCGGCCGUCGCCGCAGAACCCGCUCCCUGCGAAACAGCCGCACCCGCUCCCUGGGAGAGUCAUGAGAACUGGGGUCGCGCCUGACCCCCGCGCCCGAAGAAAACCAGCCCGCGGACCCCGCCACACGGGCCGUGACCCGAGCCCCGCGCGCCGUCCCGAACGCGCGCGGUGAAAACGCCCCGCUGCGCCGGCCUUGCUCGGUCCCCCUCCUCCACCCCCACUUCUCCGGAAAAAAAAAAUUCUGAAUUGGGAACGAAGACCCGAAAAACUCGCCAUGACCAUUCCCCUCCCCGGCCCCUAGCUUCGGCCCGGAAGGCCCCUCAGGGCAGCGGCCGUGGGUACCACGACCCGGCCAGUUCCCCUCGCCGCGGACCGACCGGGCAGGGCCAACCCAGGACUGUUCCGGGGAGGGGAGCAGGGUAGGGGAGCGAAUGUUGGGGUUCGUUCGUGGGUCACCCAGAACUGGGCGCACGCUGGCGGCGCCCGGACUUCGCCUACUGUCCGCCCGGUGCCACCCGCGCGGCUCGCGCCAGACGCAGCCUGGCGGUCCCUGUCCUGUCUUCGAGUAUUUGUUUUUAAUGCUGGGUGUCGAUCGAGACAACAAGCGCUCAGAGCAAAGCAAGGAUGCAUUACGGGGGUAAUUUUAAACCGAUCGAUAAGAUUUUUCAGAGAAAAAAAAAUCGCUCAUAGUCCAUAUUUUUUAAGAAAAAAAAAAGCCUCAACAUUUUAACGGAUUUUGUUAAAAGGGAAGAUAUAUACUUCUUAACAUCACAAUCCUGAAUUUCUUUUGCUAAAAAAAAUGUAAAACCCCAAAGCCAGAAUAAAAAAUAAAAUAAUAAUAAAAAUACAAAAACAAAAAAAAAAUGAAAGCAAUUUCAGUUACUUACUGGAGGCUGUUUCCUGGAUACAACUGAAUGCAAUACAAUUAAAUCAGUAAAUGUGACUUUGUUUUGUAUUCCUAUUGGUAUUUUCAAUGUGCUGACUGUUGCACUGUAAAUGCACCGCUUCCACAACAACGACUCUAGCGAGCCCAUCCAGAGCGGCUCUCAAACCUGCAGCCUGGCGCGGCGAGCCACGGGCCCUGCAUACUAAUAAGCUCGUGCCACUCAGCCCGGAACAGCCAGCGCGCUGAUUGGCCGCGCAGCCCUCCACGGCCGGGAGCUCGUGCCACUCAUUCGGCGUAAACAGGCCUCCCAAUAGGCUGGCGCCGGGCCAGGGAACUGCCAAUCAGGAAGCAGCGG
rnacentral:lncRNA from 1 species